rnacentral:rRNA from 1 species
GACGGACCGUACGAACGUUAUUCGGAAUUACUGGGCUUAAAGGGUGCGUAGGCGGCUCAGAAAGUUGAAUGUGAAAGCCCUCGGCUUAACCGAGGAAUUGCAUCCAAAACUACUGGGCUUGAGUGAGACAGAGGUGAGCGGAACUCACGGUGGAGCGGUGAAAUGCGUUGAUAUCGUGAGGAACACCGGUGGCGAAGGCGGCAUCCUGGACCGGCAUUGACGCUGAGGCGCGAAAGCCAGGGGAGCAAACGGG